AUGAUGAAAUCUGUAUCUGUUCAUGAGCUAUGACUUCUGUGUUACAGACUAAAGCGUAGCCUGAAGAAGGCUGUUUGCUUUCCCUUUUCUGUGUUUCAGAUUUUGUUGGUUUUUUUUUUCCUCUACAUUUUUUCCAAGUUACAGGUGGAAGAAAAGUGGGACAAAAUGUCAGUUAGUGAGGAAGAACAUGUAGAAGCAUAACGUGGUGUUGCCUUCUCAUCCAUUCUUCCCUGGACCUGUCAAACAUGAUACAAAACAGAUGGUAGAGGCAACACGGUGCCAUGGGAGAGCUUUUGAUCUUUGGUGCCGACUUUCAUAGCGAAACUGUCCAGUCACCUUGUGAGCAGGCACAAUGCCACAGCAACAGAUGAGGAGGAGUAAGAGAGAAGUGAUGAUGCCAUUAGAGUUUACUUGCAUGUCCACAUCUAAUAAACUUUGCAAGCAUGAAGAGAAGCAUUUGCCUGAGAAGUUUGCUGAAACAGACCUUUGGUUUCCAUUCCUGAGUCUAUUCAAAAAUAAAUAUUUGGACUGGAAAGAGUUUGGAAAGCUGAAAAUUGUGAAGGAUGCAGUAGUGGCAGACCCACUGCAGUUCUGA
rnacentral:lncRNA from 1 species